rnacentral:rRNA from 1 species
UGGGGAAUAUUGGGCAAUGGGCGAAAGCCUGACCCAGCAACGCCGCGUGAAGUAUGAAGGCCUUCGGGUUGUAAACUUCUUUGAUCAGGGAAGAAACAAAUGACGGUACCUGAAAAACAAGCCACGGCUAACUACGUGCCAGCAGCCGCGGUAAUACGUAGGUGGCGAGUGUUAUCCGGAUUUACUGGGUGUAAAGGGCGUGCAGGCGGGCUGAUAAGUCAGAUGUGAAAUCCCCGAGCUUAACUCGGGAACUGCAUCUGAUACUGUUGGUCUUGAGUGCUGGAGAGGAUAGUGGAAUUCCUAGUGUAGCGGUAAAAUGCGCAGAUAUUAGGAGGAACACCAGUGGCGAAGGCGGCUAUCUGGACAGUAACUGACGCUGAGGCGCGAAAGCGUGGGUAGCAAACAGG